rnacentral:ribozyme from 2 species
GCUCGUCUGGGCGAGGAUAAACAGCUAUUAAGCCCAGAGCGUUCUGAGUCUUUAAGAUUCGGAGGUUUAG